GACAGAAUGGCUUGAGAUUUAGGAUCUGUGUUACCUGAAGUCAAGCGUAGAUGGUCAGUCUGGUUUUUGGUGUGGGUUCCGAGCCAGAGGUGGCAGGGCCAAAUAGUGCUGGCAUCUAAGGGGGCGAUAGAUAAAGAAACCACUUGUAUCUUUUUGUUAUGACUUGCUUGGUUUGCUUUCUGCUUGAGAAUGACAUUUUGAGGUUCCUUGGGAAAUUUCAUACCGUUGUGUUUUUUGUUUUGUUUGGUUUGCAAUUACUUAGGAUGUGCAAACAUCAGACAGGAGCGGGUCCCUCUGUCUCCUGAUGGUAGCACAUCCCGGGCAGCCAGUCAGAGCGCUGUGACUAUUGUGGCGUCACCGUCACAUCCCACUUUAAACAGCUUCUUUUUCCCUUCCACAGGAUUGGAAAGGAACCCGAAUUGAAUACUUCGGCCACCGCAAGCGGGAAGUGGAAUUGUGUGGAACACUUGGUAUCAUGGAGAGAUGGCUUAUACAGUGAGGACUUCACACACAGUCCAUGGUGACCAGGAACGUGCUGAACUGGACGGAGACGAUAUGAUAAUUGGUACCACUUGUCUGCGACAUUGCCACAUAUCAGGACUUCUUUUGUUUUUUUCUGUUAACUCCUGGUUUCCUCUAUCUUCAAGGCUUCCAGUGUUUUCCGAAGGCACAGGAUGAGCGGAAGGGAUGUGGCAUGCAACGAAGAACAAAGACCCAUAAAAAAGAAAACAGCAUACUAUCACCUCAGCUGCCCAAAGACCACAUCUUCAAAUAACCAAUAACUGCAGCCCCAAGCCCUAGUUAGGUGGCAGUGAUAGUUGCAAGUCAGGCAUACAUUUUCCACAGGUUCCAGAAUAUAAUAAUGAUUUAAGAUACCUGCUUCAGCUAUUCCAUUUAUAAAUAUGCUGGUACAUAUCAAAUUAGUAGAAUUUCAAAACCACUGCUUGGAGAAAUUGUUCUGAAUUUAGGUUUGGAGGAUGGGAAAUAUACAGAUUUAUUUCAGCUCUCAAACAUACAAAUUCAUUUCAGUUCUCGAAUCAGAAAAUGGUUAAUGCAUCUUCAGACAAAAAGAAUUCUUUGAAACUUGCAUCUGGUCUAAAGUUUUGAGAGCCAAAUUUCUGCCUAGUGCAAUUUGCAAUGGAUGAAACAGUUCUGGCAAUAAUUGAGUCCUCAGUGGAAAUGGUGACUUGAUAGACUUUGAACAAAGCAGGGUUGCAGAAUAGAGCUUUUCUCAAAUAAUUUGUUGUUUGAGGAGUGUCUCUAGUCUGUACAUUUUAGAAAACCCAAAAUAAUGGUUUCAGUUGGCCAAAGUGUCUGUUACUAGUUAUGUCCUUAUUUAUGGCCUAGGAUAAGAAGUCUCUUCUGGGAAAUUUAAGCAAAUGAUUAGACAAAGGAUAACACAUAUUUUUCUCAGAUGAGUUGAGAAAAGUGAGAAAAUGAAAUGAAUGAUUUUAAAAAUUUCUAGUUAGCUCUGUGUUUUCAUUUUGGGCAACUUUCUAUCUUAACACUUUCAGAAAACUAACUAGGAAGGCAGAAGGCUAAUGAUAAAAUUCAAAUCCUACUUGUGAUUAUUUAUUUAUCUGUACUUAAUGAAAUAAAGCACUUCCAGCUUGGACA
ensembl:lncRNA